GGGUCAGUAGGUUGGUCGUGCCACCGGUACGUACUGGUCUCACUGAUUCCUCCUUCCUGAAGAACCGUAAUGCCAUUAAUUUGGUGUUGCGGGGAAACAGGACUGUUACUUUGAAAAAAUUAGAGUGUUUAACGCAAGCUAACGCUUGAAUACAUUAGCAUGGAAUAAUGAAAUAGGACGAUCGACCCUAUUUUGUUGGUUUCUAGGAUUGACGUA
rnacentral:rRNA from 1 species